rnacentral:rRNA from 1 species
AUUGAACGCUGGCGGCAGGCCUAACACAUGCAAGUCGAGCGGAUGAAGGGAGCUUGCUCCUGGAUUCAGCGGCGGACGGGUGAGUAAUGCCUAGGAAUCUGCCUGGUAUUGGGGGAUAACGUCCGGAAACGGGCGCUAAUACCGCAUACGUCCUGAUGGAGAAAGUGGGGGAUCUUCGGACCUCACGCUAUCAGAUGUGCCUAGGACGGAUUAGCUAGUUGGUGGGGUAAAGGCCUACCAAGGCGACGAUCCGUAACUGGUCUGAGAGGAUGAUCAGUCACACUGGAACUGAGACACGGUCCAGACUCCUACGGGAGGCAGCAGUGGGGAAUAUUGGACAAUGGGCGAAAGCCUGAUCCAGCCAUGCCGCGUGUGUGAAGAAGGUCUUCGGAUUGUAAAGCACUUUAAGUUGGGAGGAAGGGCAGUAAGUUAAUACCUUGCUGUUUUGACGUUACCAACAGAAUAAGCACCGGCUAACUUCGUG